rnacentral:rRNA from 1 species
UAAUACAGAGGUCCCAAGCGUUGUUCGGAUUCACUGGGCGUAAAGGGUGCGUAGGCGGUCGGGUAAGUCUAACGUGAAAUCUCCGAGCCUAACUCGGAAACUGCGUCGGAUACUAUUCGGCUAGAGGAAUGGAGGGGAGACUGGAAUUCUCGGUGUAGCAGUGAAAUGCGUAGAUAUCGAGAGGAACACCAGUGGCGAAGGCGAGUCUCUGGACAUUUCCUGACGCUGAGGCACGAAAGCCAGGGGAGCAAACGGG